GAUGAACGCUGGCGGCGUGCCUAAUACAUGCAAGUCGAACGCACAGCGAAAGGUGCUUGCACCUUUCAAGUGAGUGGCGAACGGGUGAGUAACACGUGAAUAACCUGCCUUAUAGUAGGGGAUAACAUUUGGAAACAGAUGCUAAUACCGUAUAAAACAACUUUUUGCAUAAAAGGUUGUUAAAAGGCGCUUCGGCGUCGCUAAAAGAUGGAUUCGCGCUGCAUUAGUUAGUUGGUGAGGUAAAGGCUCACCAAGACGAUGAUGCAUAGCCGAGUUGAGAGACUGAUCGGCCACAUUGGGACUGAGACACGGCCCAAACUCCUACGGGAGGCUGCAGUAGGGAAUCUUCCACAAUGGGCGCAAGCCUGAUGGAGCAACGCCGCGUGUGUGAUGAAGGCUUUCGGGUCGUAAAGCACUGUUGUAUGGGAAGAAUGGCUUAGGUAGGCAAUGACCUAAGAUUGACGGUACCAUACCAGAAAGGGACGGCUAAAUACGUGCCAGCAGCCGCGGUAAUACGUAUGUCCCGAGCGUUAUCCGGAUUUAUUGGGCGUAAAGCGAGCGCAGACGGUUGGUUAAGUCUGAAGUGAAAGCCCACAGCUCAACUGUGGAAUUGCUUUGGAAACUGGCUAACUUGAGUGCAGUAGAGGUAAGUGGAACUCCAUGUGUAGCGGUGGAAUGCGUAGAUAUAUGGAAGAACACCAGUGGCGAAGGCGGCUUACUGGACUGUAACUGACGUUGAGGCUCGAAAGUGUGGGUAGCAAACAGGAUUAGAUACCCUGGUAGUCCACACCGUAAACGAUGAAUACUAGGUGUUAGGAGGUUUCCGCCUCUUAGUGCCGCAGCAAACGCAUUAAGUAUUCCGCCUGGGGAGUACGACCGCAAGGUUGAAACUCAAAGGAAUUGACGGGGACCCGCACAAGCGGUGGAGCAUGUGGUUUAAUUCGAAGCAACGCGAAGAACCUUACCAGGUCUUGACAUCCUUUGAAGAUGUUAGAGAUAACAUUGUGCUCUUCGGAGCCAAAGUGACAGGUGGUGCAUGGUCGUCGUCAGCUCGUGUCGUGAGAUGUUGGGUUAAGUCCCGCAACGAGCGCAACCCUUAUUGUUAGUUGCCAGCAUUUAGUUGGGCACUCUAGCGAGACUGCCGGUGACAAACCGGAGGAAGGCGGGGACGACGUCAGAUCAUCAUGCCCCUUAUGACCUGGGCUACACACGUGCUACAAUGGCGUAUACAACGAGUCGCAAACCCGCGAGGGCAAGCUAAUCUCUUAAAGUACGUCUCAGUUCGGAUUGUAGUCUGCAACUCGACUACAUGAAGUCGGAAUCGCUAGUAAUCGCGGAUCAGCAUGCCGCGGUGAAUACGUUCCCGGGUCUUGUACACACCGCCCGUCACACCAUGGGAGUUUGUAAUGCCCAAAGCCGGUGGCCUAACCUUUUGGAGGGAGCCGUCUAAGGCAGGACAGAUGACUGGGGUGAAGUCGUAACAAGGUAGCCGUAGGAGAACC
rnacentral:rRNA from 1 species